rnacentral:rRNA from 1 species
UAACGUUACCAAACUGUUGCCUCGGCGGGAUCUCUGCCCCGGGUGCGUCGCAGCCCCGGACCAAGGCGCCCGCCGGAGGACCAACCAAAACUCUUUUUGUAUACCCCCUCGCGGGUUUUUUAUAAUCUGAGCCUUCUCGGCGCCUCUCGUAGGCGUUUCGAAAAUGAAUCAAAACUUUCAACAACGGAUCUCUUGGUUCUGGCAUCGAUGAAGAACGCAGCGAAAUGCGAUAAGUAAUGUGAAUUGCAGAAUUCAGUGAAUCAUCGAAUCUUUGAACGCACAUUGCGCCCGCCAGUAUUCUGGCGGGCAUGCCUGUCCGAGCGUCAUUUCAACCCUCGAACCCCUCCGGGGGGUCGGCGUUGGGGAUCGGCCCUGCCUCUUGGCGGUGGCCGUCUCCGAAAUACAGUGGCGGUCUCGCCGCAGCCUCUCCUGCGCAGUAGUUUGCACACUCGCAUCGGGAGCGCGGCGCGUCCACAGCCGUUAAACACCCAACUUCUGAAAUGUUGACCUCGGAUCAGGUAGGAAUACCCGCUGAACU